rnacentral:lncRNA from 1 species
UUUCAAACAAUUGAAUUUGGAUCCAUAAUUCAAAUUUAUAAAUUGCAACCAGAAUUCAAUGUACACAUCAGAUUCUUGUUCAAUUACACAUACAUCCCACUCAUGGUCAAUGUACAGCUAGGAUUCAAGAAGUAAACUAUAGCUAAAGUUUGCUACAGCUAACAGUAUAACUAAAUCAGAAUGUACAUGUGUUGUUGGUCAGGCCAAUUAUCUGCAGGUUCUGCUUGAUUUGCUACACCUCCGAUUAUGACCUUGAGCAAGAGCGUGAAUUAUAAGUUAGUGUCCAUCAACCAACAGACCAUGACCACCCGUAAGAACAUGUUCCUACAAACGGAGAAGGUAAUCCAGUGAUAAGUAAAGAGUUUGAACACAAAGAAAUCAAGAACGGGCUCAGGAUUAUAGUGAAUAGGCCUAACAAUUCCUAACAAGGAUACAAUAUGAUCUGGACCAGAAUUAAUUCAUCUCGAGGAAAUAAUAUUGGUCAAGUUCAUUGAUAAAGUUCGUUGCACUAAUCACUAGAAAAUGUACAAAGAUUAAUAUUUUGGUGUUGGGCUCAACCAAUUUUGCUUCUCCACAGCACAUGAACUUAACCAAACAUACAAUGCCUUUUGCCUAUACGAUUUGAUGGGGAUAAAACAUAGAAUGGUAUGUGUUCUCUCACACACCAGGUUGCAAUACAGGAAAAAUUAAUCAUUGUGUAACUUCAACGAAUUAGCAUCUUACAUCUUCCAUAUUUAUGAUAAUUUAAUGGAUGUGUCGAGCAAACAUUGGAUUUAUAUAUCCAUCUAUGAAAUAAAAGAGGAGUUCUUUUACCUUAUCAUCUGAUUUGAUCAACCUUGUAAAAAGAAUUAAAAAAAGAAAUUUAUUAGCAAAAUAGAUGGCAGGGGUGGUUGGCAGAUGCAUAGGAAAACAGACCAUCCCCUGCACUGCAACUGAUUUGCAUAGUGAGAUAUUAAAUGUAUUGCUUGUAGGAAAAUUUUCUAAUUUAAGCAAAAUACUGUAUGAACUGAGAAGCUAUGCCAUUCUGAUUCUGAAUAGAGAAAUAGGAUAAGUGUAUAGCUUACUGGCCUAAAUAGGAUAGCCGUAACCUGCAGGUUAUGAUGGUUUUGCUAUCUUCCGUACAAAUUCUCUUAUGUUAGACAAAAAGAGUACAUGUGGCUUGCCAGUAACAUCAAACUGAAUAUCGUUGCCACCAUUGCGAUUGAUAGCCACAGAAUUAUGUUAAAUUGAAUGUACACAAGACAUGUAUUUAUACAGCAAACUAUAAUUCUCCGGGAGAAUUGGAAGGUGAUGUUGUAUUUAUAUAGCAAACAACAGUUCCGUGAAAAAAAAUCAAAUGUGUUAAGUCUACAACAGAGACAAUCAUAUCUGCAAACAGUAACACAUCUAUAUAGCGCGCGAUGGUUCGUUUGAUAGAACUUUCAGAAUCCCAUGAGCUGUAUUUUGAACUAAAUCAAAUGUGCCCUACAUGAUCAUAAAAUAAACAGCAAUUUUUGCAAUAGCAAAUUGUUCCCCAAAACAUUACCCUGGGAUAUUAAUUACCAUGUUAAACAUGUGUCCUCACAUAAAAAUUGACGUAUAUAGCUGGAGCAGAGCCAGAUGCACUUACAGAGACAUGCACUUAUAGAGACGGUAAUCUUCAUAUAAUAACCUGAUAUAAGAAAACAAAGACAGUAACUAGUCAUGGCAGGAAAAAGGUUAUAUAUAAAUUGCAAUUGUGCAUGUACUUCUCAAGUCGCUUCUCCUACCUCAAUAGAGAAUAGCAUCCAUGGGAGAUCAAGACUCCUUCCUGAGUAGAUUGGGACUGGUUUGGAGACGCUCCGUCCUGUAUCCGAACCAGAGAACCCAUGGAGCUAAGGUGGAGCCUGGUGUGAUCGUCAUUAGAACAGAAUCAGCUUUAAGAAAUGAAACUUAGGCAAUUACAUUCUAUGCUAGUGGAUUACAACAAAUAGUUUUGAACUUAUCUAAGUCAUGAAAUAAUUCAUGUAUUGCUGACCCACUUAACACACAAUCAGAUGGCGCUAUGCACUCCCUCCCACACAAGCAAAUGUCAAUGACUAGUAACUACGUGAACAUACAAACGGUGGUGUUCAAGAAUUAUAAAUAUCUGCUAGAAAAACAUUUGCAACUGCAACACACCAAUGAAUAUAUAAUGUUUGACCUACGUACAUGAGAAGAUAGUCUCGCUCUAUCACAGUCUGACCACAAAAGAAGCGCCUCUUUCAGAGAGAUCUAACCUGCAGUGUGUAUAAAUGUACCCACCUAACUAGAUUUAAAUCAAAAUUCCUGAUUUUCACUGGACAUGUGAAAUUGCCAAAUCCAGAGAACAUAAGAGCGAGAUAAGGAAGAACCUAUUGGACAGAAGGGAUCCCGUGGCCAUCCAGUAAGCAAGGAUGGCUCGGUUACCACAGGCGGCAAGGUCGGCACAGGCGGCGUGGUCAGCAAAAUGCGCGGGCAACAAGGGAAUUGCAGCGCCGUCACCCAGCUGGCAUUGCCAUGGUCACCCCACCCAUCGCAUCAAAUUUAUAAAUUGCAGCCAAAAUUCAUCAUACACAUCAGAUUCACGAUAAGUGGACACAUACAUCAGACUCAUGAUCAAUUUAGAGCCAAAAUUCUAAGAGUAAAUCAAUUUUAAGUUUGCUGCAGCUAGCAGUACACCUAAAUCAACAUGUACAAGUGCUAUUGAUUAGGCCAAAUAUCUGCUACUAUUGGUCAGUCCAUCUCAGGUUAAGACGCAACAUAUAAUAUAACAAACUUGUUUUUAUACCAAGUAAGCUGGUAUGACACACUGAGCAUCAUAUCCUAAAGAUGCAAGCUUAAUUACCAUGUUACAAGUUCGACUACUUCUGUGGUUCUACAUAGAACAUUAAAUUUCGGCAGCAAGGAAUGCAGAGUAACAUAAAAAGAAGGGUUAAUUGGAUAUAAGCAGUGAACAACAGUGCGGGAAGGGUGGAACAAAUGUACCUCGACGGGGGAGGGAAGGAUAAGUAGAACGGCGGUGUCAGUGGCGAAGAUGUACUCGAUGUAGGGAGGAGAGGUAGUUGGGCUUCGGAGGUGCUGCAGGGUCGGCGGCAGGAAGGACAUCUCGGGGAGUCAUUGGUGAAGCAACACCCAAGCGAUGGGAGAGGCAGCUCAGGUGGCUUCCAAUCUUUGAGGGGAGGGGCAGCUUUGCAACGGGAGGGCAAAGCUCUGGACGAAGUUGUCAAGAGGAGGCGGAUCCCAAUCCACCGGUCAGAGUAGAGGAGGGACUCUGGUGGCCCGAGAUCGGACGGGCGGCGGCGGCGACAUCAAAGGAGAAACCCUAGCAGGCGGUGGUAUGGGGGUCAGAGGGAGGGAAGAGAAGUGACGACCUCGGUGGCAGAGAAGCUUGGCUGGCCGGAGCUGGGCACGCCCCAGAUCUGGGAAGCUCUCUGCGUUAGGAGAGGGGGAUUUGGACUCGGCCAGGGAGAAGAUUGCCCAAAUUUUCAUCUCCUUCGCGCACUUUCUCGCUACACGCCAUGUCUC